rnacentral:rRNA from 1 species
GAUGAACGCUAGCGGGAGGCUUAACACAUGCAAGUCGAGGGGCAGCAUUUACUUCGGUAAGAUGGCGACCGGCGCACGGGUGCGUAACGCGUAUGCAACCUGCCUUACACUGGGGGAUAGCCCAUGGAAACGUGGAUUAAUACCCCAUAUUCUUUAAUUGCUGCAUGGCAAUUAACGGAAAACUCCGGUGGUGUAAGAUGGGCAUGCGUCUGAUUAGUUAGUUGGUGGGGUAACGGCCCACCAAGGCCACGAUCAGUAGGGGUCCUGAGAGGGUUACCCCCCACACUGGUACUGAGACACGGACCAGACUCCUACGGGAGCAGCAGUGAGGAAUAUUGGUCAAUGGAGGCAACUCUGAACCAGCCAUCCCGCGUGCAGGAUGACGGCCUAUGGGUUGUAAACUGCUUUUAUUGCCAAGAACCUACUUACGUGUAAGUAGCUGACGGUAGCAAAUGAAUAAGCA